rnacentral:rRNA from 1 species
AAACUUACAACAACGGAUCUCUUGGCUCUGGCAUCGAUGAAGAACGCAGCGAAACGCGAUAAGUAAUGUGAAUUGCAGAAUUUAGUGAAUCAUCGAAUCUUUGAACGCACAUUGCGCCCGCCAGUAUUCUGGCGGGCAUGCCUGUCCGAGCGUCAUUA